ACACGCAUUCCAACGGACAAUCAUACACAAAGCAAACAAGCUAUAAUUAGAACAAUACACCAACAGUGAUAGAGCAAAUAUAAAAGUUUAUAAAAAUGUUCUACGCAGCACUACGAUCACAAGAACGUAAAGAUCACGAAAUUCGGAGUUAAAACGGAGAAGUUAUGCAUUUUCUAAGAUUUUCUAUAGAAAAAUAAUUAAUUAAAUAGUACCACAAAAUUAAAAAGUUUUAAACCAGUGAAAC
rnacentral:lncRNA from 1 species